UUCUUGGGGAAGAAGUUUUCUCUUUAAAUGGAGAAAAUCUCGUCGGAUUUGAAGCUCUCUGAGUUGAAACAGAACGGUCUGAACAGAGCCUAUGAAAACAUGAAUGCCCAAUGGAGAGAUUUGGAGGAACACUUCGACUUAACUCGGAAAUCCAUCGAAUCCCAGUUUGAAGAGCUUGAACGGCGUGCAAAAGAGGGGGGUUUGAAGGAGCAGCAGUUGGAUACAAUGCAGGAACAUCUGAGAGAGUGUGAGAGAGAGCUUGCUGCAAAGGAGAGCAAACUGGGUUCGGUGGUAGAGAAGCUUCGGUUGAAAGAGGAGCACCUGGAUUCAACACGAAAGUCAGUGGAGGAGUGCUCCGGUGACCUUGAGUUUAAAAAACAGGAAUUGCGGUCUAUGCAAAUAUCAGUGGCGAAGUGCUUUUCAGAGAUUGAGUCUAAAAAGAAUCAACUGGGGUCAUUGGAGCAGUCGUUAGUGCAAUGUUCCAAGAAACUGAGAUGGAAAGAGCAGCGGCUGGAGGUGGUUGAGAAGUCGAUUCAUAAAUGUUUUGAUGAAGUUAUACUGAAGGGGAAGGAACUUGAGUCCGCAGAAAAAAGAUUAGAAGAUUGUCUUGGGAAGCUUGAACUGAAAGAGAAGGAACUAUGUGAGGUUCAAAAGUUGAUUAGAGAGCGAUGUGUCGAGCUCGAGUUGAAGGAGAGGCAGAUUGACAGUAUCAAAAUAUUGAUUCAAGAAAACAGUGAAGAGCUUGAGUUGAAGGUAAAGCAAUGUGGUGAAACAGAAAAGUCAAUCAAGGAUCAGAAAAUGGAACUUAAACUUAAAGAGAAGAAAGUUGAAUCUGUUGAUAAAUCCAUCAAAGAGCAGUUGGAAGAAGUUAAAUCAAGAGAAAAGAUAAUGGAUUUGAGAGAAAGAAAAAUUAAAGACUUAACUGAUGAAGUUGAGUCUGAGGGAAAGAAACUUGAUUCAAUCCAAGAAGUGUACAAAAGAUAUUGUGACGAUGUUGAAUUGAAAGAGAGAGAAUAUAAUGCAAUUGGAAGGUCCAUUGAAGAACGCAAGCAGGAGCUUGAAUUGAAAGAAAAUCAACUAAAAUCGACCCAAAAUUUUAUUGAAGAGUCUGACAAGAAGCUCAAAUCAAAAGAGGAAAUGCUUGAUUUAAUCCAAAAAAAAAUUGUGGAAUGCUCUAGGGAAAAAGAAUUGAAGGAGAAGCAGCUUGAUUUCCUAGAAGAAUCUAUCAAAAAGUGCACUGAUAGUCUUGUAUCAAAGGAGAAGCAACUCAAUUAUGUACAAGACAUAGCAAAAGAACGCCUCAAAGAACUGGAAUUUGAAGAGAAAAAUCUUGUCUCAUUCAAGAACUCCAUAGAAGAGUGUUCACAUGAUCUUGAAAUGAGAGAAAGGCAGUUCGAAAAACGAGCUAGGGAGCUUGACUUAAAAGAGAAACAACUCAAUACAUUACAAAAUCCAAUCAAUGAGGCUAUAAAAGAGAAGGAAUUGAAGGGGAAGAAGUGUAACUUUCCUUCACAAUUGAAGACUGAACAGCUUGAAUACACCAUUGCCAACAAUGCUACUGUUCAUUACCCUGCACCUUUCAGACCCUGUGCCCAUGGACGAAGUUUGCAAUUGUUAAUGAAUGAGAGUUUGCAUAGGCACGAGCUAGUGUGUGGUCAGGUCUCUACAAUUCUUCAAACAUCAUCGAACCCUUCGAAGUUGGUGCUAGAUGCAAUGCAUGGGUUUUAUCCUCCACAUUCAAGGGAGGGAUUUAUGGAGUUUGAUGUGAAUAUUAUUAGGAGGAGUUGCAUUCUUUUGUUAGAGCAGUUAAUGAAGGCCUCACCUGUGGUUAACCCUCAAGUGAGGGAAGCAGCAAUGAAGUUGGCAGUUGAAUGGAAGCAAAAGAUGAGAAUGGCCCAUGAUAAUUGUUUCGAGGUUUUGGGUUUUCUGCAGCUUUUGGCUGCAUACAGAUUGAGCUCUUGUUUUAAUGGAUAUGAGCUCCAGAGUCUUCUUGAUAUGGUUGAUCAGCAUGCACAGGCGCUUGAAUUACGGCAAACCCUUGGUAUUGCAUGUAAAACACCUGUGACUAGCAUCCUUCAUUCCCGAGAGCGACCUGAAUAUUUGCCCCCAGAAAAUGCAGCCAAUUCUUCUUUUGCAGAUCUUCAACUAACUGCCACUACAUACAAGAAUUUUCAGUUGCUCUUGAAUGAGCAAUGGAACAGUCCUGAUGAAAUGUGCGAUGCAAUUUUUCAUUCUCUUCAAAUGUCAUUGGACCCGGCAAAGCUUGUUUUGGAUGUGAUUCAGGGGUCUUUCCCUCGUAUUUGGGAGAAGAGAGAGACUGGUUUUCAAGCAAGUUCCAUGAAUGGUUACUUUUUUAUGCUAGAGCAGCUAAUGAGAAUGUCACCACAGAUUGAUCCACAAGUUAAAGAAGAAGCAAUUAAGCUGGCGGUUGACUGGAAAGAAAGAUUGAUUGUCAAUACUAGGAAUUCUUUGGAGGUUUUGGCUUUUCUGCAGCUGUUAGCAUCUUAUGGUUUGGCAUCUUCAUUUGAUGGAUAUGAGAUUUUAAAGCUUUUUGAAGUUGUUACACAAUAUAAACAGGCUGUAGAAUUAUGUCAGACCCUUGGUUUUGCAGAUGAGAUUCCUGAUUUUAUUGAGAAAUUGAUUGAGAGGAAGCUGUAUAUUAAGGCUGUUAGAUUUGUGUGUGCCUUCAAGUUGGUUGACAACUUUCCACCAGUACUUUUGCUGAAAGAAUACCUGGAGAAUGCAAGGAGGUCUGCCCAGAAAUUAUGCCAGAAAAAGAAAUCAUUUCAAGCAAAGGAUGAGGCCACAGAUGGUGAAAUAGAUGCUCUAAGAACCGCAAUGGAAUGCAUUAUCGAUUUCAACCUUGAAUCCGAGUUCCCACCCAAGGACAUUGAAAAACGCAUUGUUGAGCUUGAGAAGCUGAGGGCAGAAAGGAGAAGUUCUGUACCAGGCCCCAAGAAGCAAGUGUGGCACCAGAAUAAAAAUAAACGUCUUCGAACUGAGGUAUCCACUGUUGAACCCUUUGACAUUCCAGUUUUCACUCCGUCUGGGCAGUAUGAAACAAGUUAUCUUUAUAGUGGAGGACCUCGGCAGUUUGCCUCCUCAGGCAACAGCUCCAGAAAUAAUUUGCGUACUAGGCAGGGUUUUGCUGGAAAUCAUUACUUGUAUCAUUCCUGACCUAAACUCAGCCUUAAUUAUGACAGGCCAAUGUCUGAUGUUGUAAUUAUUACAGGCCAGUGUACAGUGAUUGCCAGCACUAUCAUACUCUCAAAUUUCUCAUACAAAGAGCCUAGACAUGAAUGCAUGGGUGCUGGAGUUGAGGGCCACCAAGAUAUUAUGAGUUAUGACCAAAUCUACAACCACAACUACUUGUUGGAAUGAAAGGUCAC